AUUGAACGCUGGCGGCAGGCCUAACACAUGCAAGUCGAGCGAGCGGCGGACGGGUGAGUAAUGCCUGGGAAUUGCCCAGUCGAGGGGGAUAACGGUUGGAAACGACUGCUAAUACCGCAUACGAUUGGAUGGCACAGGGGGGGUUAGCUAGUUGGUGUGGUAAUGGCUCACCAAGGCGACGGUCCCUAGAGGGCCUGAGAGGGUGAUCGGCCACACUGGAACUGAGACACGGCCCAGACUCCUACGGGAGGCAGCAGUGGGGAAUCUUGGACAAUGGAGGAAACUCUGACCCAGCAAUGCCGCGUGUGUGAAGAAGGUCUUCGGGUCGUAAAGCUCUGUCAUCGAGGAGGCGUUAUCUGCAGAAGAAGCCCCGGCUAACUACGUGCCAGCAGCCGCGGUAAUAC
rnacentral:rRNA from 1 species